GGAUGCGAUCAUACUAGUACUGAGGCACCGAAUCCCAUCAGAACUCCGAAGCUAAGCGUGCUUGGGCGAGAGUAGUACAAGGAUGGGAGACCCCCGAGAAGUCCUCGUGUUGCAUCCC
rnacentral:rRNA from 1 species